rnacentral:tRNA from 1 species
AGUUGGUUAGAGCAACGGACUCAUAAUCCGUCGGUCGUAGGUUCGAGUCCUGCCAGGCCCA